rnacentral:rRNA from 1 species
UUGACAUGCAGAGAACUUUCCAGAGAUGGAUUGGUGCCUUCGGGAACUCUGACACAGGUGCUGCAUGGCUGCGUCAGCUCGUGUCGUGAGAUGUUGGGUUAAGUCCCGUAACGAGCGCAACCCUUGUCCUUAGUUACCAGCACGUUAUGGUGGGCACUCUAAGGAGACUGCCGGUGACAAACCGGAGGAAGGUGGGGAUGACGUCAAGUCAUCAUGGCCCUUACGGCCUGGGCUACACACGUGCUACAAUGGUCGGUACAAAGGGUUGCCAAGCCGCGAGGUGGAGCUAAUCCCAUAAAAACCGAUCGUAGUCCGGAUCGCAGUCUGCAACUCGACUGCGUGAAGUCGGAAUCGCUAGUAAUCGUGAAUCAGAAUGUCACGGUGAAUACGUUCCCGGGCCUU